UUGAGGUGUUGGAGUUGGUGCUGGAGGAGAUGUAGAAAUAGAACGGGGGCGAGAAGGCUGAGAAGGUGGAGGAGUAGCAAUUCUUGGAGCUUGGCGAGAAGGCUGAGAAGGUGGAGGAGUAGCAAUUCUUGGAGCUGUAACUCUUCUGCCACCAUUAAUAACAAUCCUCAAAGGAUUCGUUGGGUUCAGUGUUUGCAUCAUUGACGCAUUAAACCCUCUUUGCUCACCAUUAAUAUUAUUAAUAUUAACAUUGGAAUUG
rnacentral:lncRNA from 1 species